GCUCGCCAGCACGGGGCGAGCCGCCUUCCUUCCGUUGCGGCCUUCGUGGUCACUAGAGUUUCGUUGGAUGGUUUCAUCGCCAGCACUUAAUAGAUGGACAGACAGACUCAGAGAGGACGUACAACGUGGCAGGUGGUAUGAGAAACUGCAGGCUCCUGGUGUUAGGACAUCAAGUGUGAUCAGCACAUUCGGCUCUAGGAAGACGCAGGCCUUCCUCCCCGCUCGGAUGGAGGGAACAGAAGACCAGGGCUCAUGCCUCCCAUGGCUGCGAGGCUGGAAGAGACAAACACUGAGCCUGGGGCACCCACGUACGCGGCCGUGAACACGUGACGUGGGGGUCACCCGCCUUCCCCACUCGGAACAUGUGGGAUUGGAGACAAUGACUUAGACCUGACUUUAUCCGGAUACCGUGUCUCUGAAAAGAAAGAGUAGACAGGUCAUUCUUCUGCUCAGACUGUGUAUUUUGCACGGGUAUCACCUUGAGGAAAAUCGGCACCACCUCCGGGGAUCUCUGCUGACCCCUUAGAGGGAAGACACGGCCGAGCGGCGAGGAGCGGGGCGGUACCGCCUCGCUGCCGGGUCCCCGUAAGACAGGAAUCGCCCGCCAAAGCCUCGUUCAGCGCAGACGGGAUCUGGGAUCGCCAUGGCGACCGUGUUUUCUCAGGAUCAAGGCCUGUUCCUCAGGAAAAAACUAGGGUUGUUUGCUUGAAAUUCUCAAAGCCGCCUGUAACUUCAAAGCCAUGCUCAUUGUGUUUGAACUUUCUCGAAUUAUUGAUACGCUUUGUUCAGAGUAUAGAUCUGCUCUGGAAAACGGAGCAAGACCCGAACUGCAGAAUGUCACGUGUGAGCCCGUGUCAGCGGGACAAGAGCAGCGGGAGGGGCGCUGGCCUGGCUCUUCUUGGGGAUCCCGGUGGGAGGAGGGGGCGGGGCACUGCAGGUGCCGUGCCCUCGGGGCGGCUCCCUGUGGCGGCGGACACCAAGUGGGGGCACAGCCCUCAGCACGACUCGGAGCACAGCUGAGCCCACACUGGCUUGUCCAGGCAACCAGAACAGGACCUCGAGGUGCAGGCUGUGGGGCCCCCGCCGCCCCGGGGUCAAGGUCGGUCUGCGGGAGGAUGGAGCGUCACAGCGCGGGAAUGGCUGUCCCGGGAUCUGACUGCUGGUUCCCGAUUCGAUUUAGGGUGAGGCACAUGUUAGCAGGCUGAGAAAGGGUUGUUUGAUCUUAAGUGAACAUUUCUCCUUAAAUCGCCUGCAGGGUCCUUCCUCUCUUUCCUCUUGUGAGGCUGGGGACCGUCCGGGCCCGCGGUGAGGCUGGAUGUGACGGAGGACAGGGCCUCGACUGGGCCUCGGUCCCAGAUACGGGCCACGGCAGUGGCCACCCCCGUUAGGGCACCCGCGGACCAGCUCAGGACACCUCAUGGCCACAACCAUGUAGGAAAAGCCCGAGACACAAGUCUGGCAGUAAACCUGCAGUGCCGGCCUCAACGGGUGUGAACGCCCCUAGGGCGACAGAGGGGCCAGCACGGAGCGUGGGAACAUCGUCCCCUGGGGUUCCGGGUGGGUCGGAGUCUCACUGGCGCGCCCAGAGCUCUCCGGUGCUGGGGGGCCCAGUGCAGUGGGGGGGUGAGGGCGGCCGGCCCGGAUCCCAGUUCUCACCUAUCCUGUCCCCGCGGCCACAAAGCAACGCCGACUUCCUUCCCUAGUUCACAGCAUCGUUGAUGAAGGAAGGAACCCAAACGGCGUAAAACAGGGCUCGUGCUUGCCUCAGCAGCCGGACACUUCUCUCCUCACGUUCUGAGCAGACAGGUGGACGCCGAGGAACGCUGCUGACCCCGCUGCGCCCUCCUCCUCCCGCUGGGGAUGUCUCUCGGGGACGCCUGCUCUGCCAGCAGGUCGGCGGCAGGCCCGAGUGCCCCCUGCCCUGCCCUGGGCCUGACCCUAGCCAGGGCACUUACCUGAGCCCUGUCCCUGACCCCUGGCCUGACCCUGAUCCCAGCCCUGACCUCUCCCUGACUCCAGCCCUGACUCUGACCCCAGCCCUGAGCCAGGCUUGAAGGUGGACACCGUGGCCAGAGACGCUGCAGGCAGUAGGCAGAGUGCUGGGCCGCUCUCGGGCUCGGGGAGCCGUUGAGUCUCACUCCCUCUCCAGGUUAGGUGGACACGGGACCCCGAGGGUCGUUCACCUCUAACAGACACCUGCCUUGGGUUUGGAAAACCCAGACUUGCCGAGAGCUUGGUUCUCCCUUGGCUGCUGCUGCCCCUUCCUCGGCCAGACCCGAGGGCCUCCCCCAGUGGACGGCUGUGAGCACGGGCCAGGACGACACAAAGACAGCCUCUGCCCGCGCUGACCUCCAGGAUGAACUCCUGGUCUCCUGGCAGAUGCACACUGGCUCCGAAGACCCCCCCCCCCAAUCUGACGACUCCCGCAGGGGGACCUCGUGUUGCUGGAGGAUGCACGGUCCCUGCCCGUCUGCCGUGGGCGUGGUCACUUGACUGGCGGCGGGGCUUCGGCGGGGACCCCCACGUUCUUGGCCGCCAUCCUUAAAUCCCCAGCCCCCAGCCCAGCUCUGACAUGAAAAGGAGCAGUGGGUCAGAGAGGAACCCAGGGAGCCACAGUGGGGAUAACUGGAGCGUGGGCGGGCUUUAGAGGAACGAUCCGACACCGCCAUGUGCCUGCGGGGGAGCUGGCUACUGGGCUCCCGGCUUCUCCACCCAGCUGCUCCCGGGAGAAGGCAGGACAGGGGUGAUUCACUCAGGAUGGGCCGGAUGUGCCGGUAACAAACACAUGCAGAUCUCAGCGGCAAAUCAAUGGACACGUCCGUGCGCGUCCACGCGUGUCACGCAUCUGUCCAGGGACCGCGGGCCUGGCUGACCCGGACGCCCCCUUGCUGCGUGACGUGGGGCGUCAGCAAGUCCUGCCAGAGGUCAAGGGGAGCUUAGGAAUUCACGGUCCUCCCUCUGCCCCAUUUUAACAAAUUAAGCUUUUUUUUUUUUUUUAAGAUUUUAUUUAUUUAUUUGACAGAGAGAGAUCACAAGUAGGCAGAGAGGCAGGCAGAGAGAGAGAGGAGGAAGCAGGCUCCCCACUGAGCAGAGAGCCCGAUGCGGGGCUCGAUCCCAGGACCCUGAGAUCAUGACCUGAGCCGAAGGCAGCAGCUUAACCCACUGAGCCACCCAGGCGCCCCUAAUUAAGCUUUUUUUUUUUAAUUUAUUUUUUCUUUUCAGCAUAACAGUAUUCAUUAUUUUUGCACCACACCCAGUGCUCCAUGCAAUCCGUGCCCUCCAUAAUACCCACCACCUGGUACCCCAACCUCCCACCCCCCGCCCCUUCAAAACCCUCAGAUUGUUUCUCAGAGUCCACAGUCUCUCAUGGUUCACCUCCCCUUCCAAUUUCCCCCAACUCCCUUCUCCUCUCCGUCUCCCCAUGUCCGCCAUGCUAUUUGUUAGGCUCCACAGAUAAGUGAAACCAUGUGAUAAUUGACUCUCUC